rnacentral:rRNA from 1 species
UACAGAGGUCUCGAGCGUUAAUCGGAAUCACUGGGCUUAAAGGGUGCGUAGGCGGCCCCGAAAGCGUCGUGUGAAAGCCCCCGGCUCAACCGGGGAAAUGCACGGCGAACUGCGGGGCUUGAGAAAACUAGGGGCUGACAGAACAGUAGGUGGAGCGGUGAAAUGCGUAGAUAUCUACUGGAAUGCCGAUGGUGAAGACGGUCAGCUGGGGUUUUUCUGACGCUGAGGCACGAAAGCGUGGGGAGCAAACAGG